rnacentral:rRNA from 1 species
GAUGAACGCUGGCGGCGUGCUCAACACAUGCAAGUCGAACGAAACACCUUAUUUGAUUUUCUUCGGAACUGAAGAUUUGGUGAUUGAGUGGCGGACGGGUGAGUAACGCGUGGGUAACCUGCCCUGUACAGGGGGAUAACAGUCAGAAAUGACUGCUAAUACCGCAUAAGACCACAGCACCGCAUGGUGCAGGGGUAAAAACUCCGGUGGUACAGGAUGGACCCGCGUCUGAUUAGCUGGUUGGUGAGGUAACGGCUCACCAAGGCGACGAUCAGUAGCCGGCGUGAGAGAGUGAACGGCCACAUUGGGACUGAGACACGGCCCAAACUCCUACGGGAGGCAGCAGUGGGGAAUAUUGCACAAUGGGGGAAACCCUGAUGCAGCGACGCCGCGUGAGUGAAGAAGUAUUUCGGUAUGUAAAGCUCUAUCAGCAGGGAAGAAAAUGACGGUACCUGACUAAGAAGCCCCGGCUAACUACGUG